AGGUCAAGCUAAUAAGAGCGUAGGGUGGAUGCCUUGGCACUAAGAGCCGAAGAAAGACGUGAUAAGCUGCGAUAAGUGUUGGUGAGGAGCAAAUAUCCAUUGACCCAGCAAUUUCUGAAUGGGGAAACCUAGCGGAGCAAACCUCCGUUACUAUUAAGUGAAUACAUAGCUUAAUAGAGGGAACCCGGGGAACUGAAACAUCUAAGUACCCGGAGGAAAAGAAAGAAAACUCGAUUUCCAGAGUAGUGGCGAGCGAAAUGGAAAGAGCCUAAACCAGAGUGCGUGCACUCUGGGGUUAUGGACCGCAAUAAGUGAGUCGUAUGAUAGAAGAAUGGUUUUGGGAAAGCCAGCCAGAGAGAGUGAAAGCCUCGUAUUCGAAAUCAGAAGACAGCGAGCGGGAUCCGAAGUACCACGAGACACGAGAAACCUUGUGGGAACUCGGGGGGACCACCCCCCAAGGCUAAAUACUACUUAGUGACCGAUAGCGCAUAGUACUGUGAAGGAAAGGUGAAAAGAACCCCGGGAGGGGAGUGAAAAAGAACCUGAAACCCUAUGUUUACAAGCUGUGGAACAUCCGUAUGUGGUGAACCGCGUACUUUUUGUAGAACGGUCCGGCGAGUUACGUUUACUGGCAAGGUUAAGGUCAAAAAGACCGGAGCCGAAGGGAAACCAAGUCUUAAUAGGGCGUGAAGUCAGUGUACGUAGACCCGAAACCGGGUGAUCUAUCCAUGUCCAGGUUGAAGUUGCCGUAAAAGGCAAUGGAGGACCGAACACACAUCCGUUGAAAAGGGUGGUGAUGAGGUGUGGAUAGGGGAGAAAUUCCAAUCGAACCCGGAGAUAGCUGGUUCUCCUCGAAAUAGCUUUAGGGCUAGCCUUGAUUUAGACUGAUGGAGGUAGAGCACUGAAUAUCCUAGGGGGCGUCAAAGCUUACCGAAGAUUAUCAAACUCCGAAUGCCAUACAGCCGAUGAUCAGGAGUCAGACUGCACGAGAUAAGUUGGG
rnacentral:rRNA from 1 species